AGACAGACAGCGAGGAAAUAGACAGGAAAACAGGCUUACGGAUAGAUAGAAAGGCGAGGAGAUAGGACAAGGUAACAGACAGACAGCGAGAAAAUAGACAGGGAAACAGGCUUACGGAUAGACAGAAAGGCGAGGAGAUAGGACAAGGUAACAGACAGACAGCGAGGAAAUAGACAGGAAAACAGGCUUACAGAUAGACAGAAAGGCGAGGAGAUAGGACAAGGUAACAGACAGACAGCGAGGAAACGGGGCAGACAGGCAGGCAAACAAAAGCCAUGGAGGGAGGAACAUAAAAACAGGCUUACAGAUAGACAGAUAAGGCAGGCAGACAGAGACAGACUUACGGACAGAUAGAAAGACAAGGAGGGCGAGGAAACGGGACAGGCAGGGAGGAAGGGAGACAAACAGAUAUGAAUAAACAGUGCAGGACAAAGAAAGGCAGGAAU